AAGGGCGCUGCCCUGGACUCAGGGAGCUCACUCCUCCUCUCUGGGCAACAGAGAAAAGUCACCCACUGCAGCAAAAGCCAUGAGAAUAUGCUCAGUGAUAAGGCAGUGGCGUUAAAUCUGCAGGCAGUGGGCUAUCUGUGGGUCCUUAAAUCUAUUUAGUGCAUCUUGAACAGUAUUUUUAAGCUGGGAUAAGUGGAAUAGGAAGGAGUGGAGUGGAGCAUGAUGAUGAUUCCCCCAACAACCCUGGGAGGUGGCAAGAUAGGAUCAUGCUUCUCCUUGCAAAGCUGAGACGAUGGGGACUUGGCAAGGCUGAGAGACUCUCUGGAGGUUGACAGCUGAGAGGUCAGAGCACCAGACCUGGGGGUCCCACAGCCCAGCUCCCAGUGUGGAGGGUCCUGCUGUGCCCACUGCCACCAAAAACACAGCUUCGCCCAGCAUCAUGCAGUAUCUGCCACACAGCGUCUGUCUGCCACAUGGCAUCUGCCACCUGAACUAUCUCCAGGCACCUCUGCAGUUACAGCAACAGCAUCACGAACCUCAGACUUAAACAGCACAACAGGCUCCUCCCAGGUCUCCAGCUACACAACCCUCAGACUUAAACAACAGCAGCGGCACCAGCUCCUCCCUGGGUCUCCAGCUCCACAAACCUCAAAUUAGAACAGCAGCACUGGCUACACCCAGUCUCCAGCUCUACACCUCUAACUUGAACUACAGCCACCAGCUCCUUCCUGGGUCUCCGGCUCCACAGACCUUAAACGAAAACAGCAGCACUGGCUCCUCCCCAGGUCCCCAGCUACAGACCCUCAAACAAGAAGAACAGCAGCACCAGCUCCACCUAAAGUCUCCAGCUCCACACCUCAAACUAGAACUUCAGCACCCGCUCCUCCCCGAGUCUCAAUAUCUGUGACCCUCAAAAUAAAACAGCAGGACCAGCUCCUCCUCUGGUCUUCAGCUUCACGACCUUAACUGUAACAGCACCACCCGCUCCUCCGGGGUCAACAGCUCCGACGCUAAAACUAGAACAGCAGACCAGCUUCUACCUAAAACACCAGCUCCGAGACUCUCAAACAAGAACAGCAGCACUGACUUCUCUCACCAGGUCUCCAGCUCCACGAUCCUGAAACUUGAACGGCAGCACCCGCUCCUCCCCGGGUCUCCAGCUCCACGAACCUCAAACUUGAACAGCAGCACCCGCUCCUCCCAGCGUCUCCAGCUCCAUGAACCUCAAACUUGAACAGCAGUACCCGCUCCUCCCCGGGUCUCCAGCUCCACGAACCUCAAACUUGAACAGCAGCACUCGCUCCUCCCAAGGUCUCCAGCUCUGCGAACCUCAAACUUGAACUGCAGCACCUGCUCCUCCCCGGGUCUCCAGCUCCACGAACCUUAAACUAAAACAGCAGUACUCACUCCUCCCCAGAUCCCCAGCUGCAGACCCUCAAGCUGCAACAGCAGCACCAUCUCCUCUCCAGGUCUCCAGCUCCAUGGACCUUAAACUAGAACAGCAGCACCAGCUCCUCCUUGGGACAACAGCUCCAAGACCCUCAAACUACAACAGCAGCCCUGACUCCUGCCCAGGUUUACAGCUCCACAAACGUCAAACUUGAACUUCAGCACUAGCUGAAGUCUCCAGCUCCCUGACCCUCAAACUAGAACAGCAGCACCAUCUCCUCUCUGGGUCUCCAGCUCCACGAACCUCAAACUUGAACUGCAGCACCUGCUCCUCCCUGGAUCUCCAGCUCCACGGACCUUAAACUAAAACAGCAGUACUCGCUCCUCCCCAGGUCCCCAGCUGCAGACCCUCAAACUGCAACAGCAGCACCAUCUCCUCUCUGGGUCUCCAGCUCCAUGGACCUUAAACUAGAACAGCAGCACCAGCUCCUCUCCUGGUCUCCAGCUCCAGGACCCUAAAACUAGAACAGCAGCACCAGCUCCUCCUUGGGACAACAGCUUUAAGACCCUCAAACUACAACAGCAGCCCUGACUCCUGCCCAGGUUUACAAACCUCAAACUUGAACUUCAGCACUGGCUGAAGUCUCCAGCCCCAUGACCCUCAAACUAGAACAGCAGCACCAUCUCCUCUCUGGGUCUCCAGCUCCAUGGACCUUAAACUAAAACAGCAGCACCAGCUCCUCCCGAGGUCCCCAUCUACAGACCCUCAAACUACAGCAGCACCAGCUCCACCCAAAGUCUCCAGCUCCCCACCUCAAACUAGAACUCCAGCACCCGCUCCUCCCCGAGUCUCAAUAUCCGCCACUCUCAAACAGCAGCACCGGCUCCUCCCCUGGUCUUCAGCUUCACGACCCUAACUAUAACAGCACCACCCGCUCUUCCGGGGUCAACAGCUCCAAGACUCUAAAACUAGAACAGCAGACCAGCUUCUACCCAGGUCACCAGCUCCGAGACUCUCAAACUAGAACAGCAGCCUUAACUUCUCGCCAAAUCUCCAACUCCACGACCCUUAAACUUGAACUGCAGCACUUGCUCCUCCCCAGGUCCCCAGCUACAGACCCUCAAACUAAACAGGAGCACUGACUUCUGCCCACAUAUCCAGCUCCACGAACCUCAAAGUUAAACUUCAGUACCAACUCCUUCCCGCGUCUCCAGCUCCACGACCCUCAAACUACAAUAGCAACACUGGCUCCCCAAUCCCAGGUCUCCAUCUCCACGACCAUCAAACUUGAGUUGCAACACUGGCUCCACCCAAAUUCUCCAGCUCCAGGAUGCUAACUGUAAUAGCAGCACCAGCUCCUCUGCAGGUCACCAGCUCCAAGACUCUCAAACUAGUACAGCAGCACUGACGCCUGCCCAGGUUUCCAGCUCCAUGAACCUCAAACUUGAACUGCAGCACCACCUCCUCCCUGGUUCUCCAGCUUCACGACCCUCAAACUAGAACAGCAGCACCAGCUCCAACCAAAGUCUCCAUCUCCACGCCUCCAACUUGAACUCCAGCACCAGCUCCUUCCUGGGUCUCAUGAUCCAUGACCCUGAAAAUAAAACAGCAGCACCAGCUCCUCUCUAGGUCUCCAGCUCCACGAACCUCAAAUUUAAAAAGCAGCCCUGGCUCUAACCCAGGUCUCCAGCUCCACCAUCGUCAAACUUGAACGGCAGCACUAGCUCCUCCCAAAGUCUCCAGCCCCACGACCCUAAAACAUGAAGAGCAGCAUUGGCUCCUCCCCAGGUCUUCAGCUUCACAACCCUAACUCUUACAGCAACACCCGCUCCUCCCCAGGUUGCCAGCUCCAAGACCCUAAAACUAGAACAGCAGACCGGCUCCUACUCAGGACACCAGCUCCAAGACUGUUAAACUAGAACAGCAGCACUGAUUUCUCACCAGGUCUCCAGCUCCACGACCCUCACACUGGAACUACAGCAACAGCUCCGCCCAGGUCUCCAGCUCCAGGGACCUUAAACUAAAAUAGCAGCACCAGCUCCUCUGCAGGUCCCCAGCUACAGACCCUCAAACUAGAAUAGCAGCACCAUCUCCUCUCCAGUUCUCCAGCUCCACGACCUUGAAACUAGAAAAGAAACACUGACUCCCCCCCACCACCAAUCUCCAUCUCCAGGAACAUCAAACUUGAACUACAACAGCGGCUCAACCCAAAGUCUCCAGCUCCCCGACACUAACUACAACAGCAGCACCAGCUCCUCCCUGGCUCACCAGCUCCAAGAUCCUCAAACCAGAACAGCAGCACUGACUCCUGCCCAGGUCACCAGCUCCAAGACCCUCAAACCAGAACAGCAGCACUGACUCCUGCCCAGGUCACCAGCUCCAAGACUCUCAAACUAGAAUAGCCACACUGACUCCUGUCCAGGUCACCAGCUCCAAGACUUUCAAACUAGAAUAGCCACACUGACUCCUGUCCAGGUUUCCAGCUCCAUGAAACUCAAACUUGAAUUGCAACACUGGCUCCUCUCCAGGUCUCCAGCCACUCAUCCCUCAAACUGUUGCUCCUCCCUGUGUCUCCAGCUUCAUGACCCUCAAACUUGAACUGGGGCACCCGUUCCUCCCCGGGUCUCCAGCUCCACGACACGUGAACUGCAGCACUUGAUCCUUCCUGAGUCUCCAGCUCCAUGACCCUUAUACUUGAACAGCAGCACCAAUUCCUGCCCAGGUCUCCAGCCUCAUGACCUUCAAAUUUAAAAAGCAGAACUGGCUCCAACCCAGGUCUCCAGCUCCACCAUCAUCAAACUUGAAUGGCAGCACUAGCUCGCCACAAAGUCUCCAGCUCCCAUGACCCUCAAAUGUGAACAGCAGCACUGGCUCCUCCCCAGGUGUUCAGUUUCACGACCCUAACUAUUACAGCAACACCUGCUCCUCCCCAGGUCACCAACUCCAAGACCCUAAAACUAGAACAGCAGACCGGCUCCUACCCAGGUCACCAGCUCCAAGACUCUCAAACUAGAACAGCAGCACUGACUUCUUGCCAGGUCUCCAGCUCCAUGACCCUCAAGCUUGAACCGCAGCAACAGCUCCACCCAGGUCUCCAGCUCCACAAACCUUAAACAACAGCACCGGCUCCUCCAGAGGUCCCCAGCUACAGACCCUCAAACUAGAACAGGAGCACUGACUCCUGCCCAGAUAUCCAGCUCCACGAACCUCAAACUUGAACUGCAGUACCAGCUCCUUCCCGGGUCUUUAGCUCCGUGACCCUGAAAAUAAAACAGCAGCACUGGCUUUUCCCCAGAUCCCCAGCUCCACGACCCUCAAAUUUAAAAAGCAGCACCAGCUCCUCCCUGGGUCAGCACCUCCAUGACCCUCAAACCUGAACUGCAGCACUGGCUCCUCCCCGGGUCACCAGAUCCCAGACCCUCAAACUAGAACAGCAGCACUGACUCCUCCCCAUAUCUCCAGCUCCAUGACCAUCAAACUUGAAGACUAGCACCAUUUCCUUUCUGGGUCUCCAGCUCCACGACCCUCAGACUUGAACAGCAGUGCCAACUCCUUUCUGGGUCUCCAGCUCCACUAUCUUCAGACUUGAACAGCAGCACCAGCUUCUCCCCAGGUCUCCAGCUCCAUGACCCUCAAACAGGAACAGCAGCACCGGCUCCUCCCUGGGUCUCCAGCUCCUCAAGUCUGAGGAUCAUGGAGCUGGAGACCCAGAAAGGCAAUGGUGCUACUCUUCAAGUCUGAGGGUCAUGGAACUGGAGACCCGGGGAGGAGCUGGUGCUACCGCUGUUCAAGUUUGAGCAUCUUGGAGCUGGAGACCCAGGGAGCCGCCACUCGAACGGUAGCUCCUCCCCCAGUCUCUAGCUCCAUGACCCUCAAACUCGAAGAGUAGCACCAUUUCCUUUCUGGGUCUCCAGCUCCAUGACCCUCAGACUUGAACAGCAGCACCAGCUCCUUUCUGGGUCUCCAGCUCUCCUAUCUUCAGACUUGAAUGGCAACACCAGCUUCUCCCCACGUCUCCAGCUCCACGACCCUCAGACUUCGACAGCAAUCCGGCUCUUCCCCUGGUCUCCAGCUCCAUGACCCUCAAACUAGAACAGCAGCACCGGUUCCUUUCUGGGUCUCCAGCUCCACGAUAUUCAGACUUGAAUGGCAGCACCAACUUUUCCCUGGGUCUUCAGCUCCAUGACCUUCAGACUUGAACGGCAGCACUGGCUCCUCCCCUCUCCAGCUCCAUGACCUUCAGACUUGAACGGCAGCGCCGGCUCCUCCCUGGGUCUCGAACCUGCCCAGCCUGCAGAUUUUGGACUUGCUAGCCUUCAGGAUCACAUUAGCCAAUUCCUUAAACUCAACCUCUUUCUCUGUAUGUAGGAUAUGGACACCUCCUGCUGGCUCUUUUUCCGGAGAGCCCAGUGAACACACCGUGCAUCAGGCUCCAUCAUUCACCAGAGCGUCUUUCCAACAGACUUUGCUGUGAUAUUUCUUAAAUAAAGGUCACUCCAAAGACCCUCACCUCUGGAUUGUAACCAACUCAGUGGCAGACUUAAUCCAUUUCUAUCUGCUGACAUUUCUCACAUGGAAUAGGCUGUUUGACAGAUUGAAGCUGUCUCCCCCCACUCCCCAGGCCAGUGCACACUUAUCUCCCUUGAAUGUUCAUUUUGUGCUCAUUUUAGAGACUGAGGCACAAAGACAGGCAAAUACAAGGUGAAGUCAGUGACAAAUAAACAAUGCUAUUUAGGCAUUGAGAGUUUGUUUUUGUGUUUGUGUUUUUUUGCUAAUUAAUUCCACCUGGUAGAGGAGGGCGAGGGGAAAGAGGAAGGGAGAAGUUUCCUGGCAGGGCUGAGAGGCAGAAUGGUGCCUGCACCUCCUGGAGUGCACGGCAAUGGUCUGGCUCUGCUGCCUUCUAUGGGUAAGGGCCCACCGGUUUUUUUUCUGGGACUUAAGUCACCUGGGCUUAUACUGAGCAGCCCUCAGCAAGCUCUUCUCACUUGCCCCUGCCACCCAGAGCUCCAGGAUGCCCUAGUUCCUGCCCCUCAAAGACCUGGGACUCCUGCUCCUGGGACCUUCUGGUCGGUUCUGCUUUUCCUUGCUUCAGGACCUUACGUGGAUUCUGUCACCUGCCACCUCAGAACUCUGAGCGACACACCCACUGCAUGUCACCCAGGACAGGUUCACCCAAGUCUUUCAUCCCAAGAAGGUCCUUCCUGGCACCUUGUGGGCUGACAGCAUCUCCAGGGAACCACAGGACUUCGAGGGGGCCUGGGAAGCAUCAAGAGCUUCAGGAGGGGAGUCUGUCACAGGUGGGGAUUACGGAGCCCUGCAGGGACCCUUAGAACAGGUGGGUCGGGGUGGGGCUGAGGUCUCGACGCCUUGAUUCAGGUUCCUGGCUUAUGUCGACCUGUCUGAAAUCUCCCACCCACAGCCAAGCCACUGGCCACCCCACUGCUGCCCUGUGUCACCCUGUUUUGAUGGAGAGCUCACCAGGCUCUCCCAGCUGCUCUCCUCUUGGAGCAGGGAGUGUUGGAAGUGGGGGGCUGAUCUGCAUAUGAACGUGGCUCUUAACCAGGUGAGGGGCUUGAAGUCCUCUGGGGCUAAUGACUGUUCCAUGAAUAAUGGUCCCUCUUAAAAUGUAAUUAAACAUUUAUCAGAUGUAUUUCUACAGAAACAUCCAUCUUAAGGGGGGACCGGAUUUCCUACCAUUCAUAUCAGUCUCCUGAAAUGAGGCAGAGGCACUCCCGGCUCCCCCUCCCCUCCCCGGCCUCAGUUCCCUGGGCCGGAUGUCCUGCUGGGGCCUGUGGUGCAGUUUCGGCUGGUUCACCCCAUGCAGAGCUUGAUGGGGUUGGGUUGGUUUUAAUCAGAAUGGUAAAUUGCAAAUGAUACAGGGCCUGGGCUCUGUUGGGAUACUUGUGUUGACCAAGUCCCUUGUGAAUUAAAUCAUUUAAUACUGGAAAUGGAAAAGGCCCCCUCAUUUUCCUUCUGAAUGAGCUGUGAAAUAGGCUCUGAGAACGGCCUCCAGAGUGAAGUGGUUGUCAGGGCUUGGCACCAAGAUCUGAUGAGGGGUCAGAAGACAGGGCACCAGCAGGACAGGGUACUUGGGGAGGCCUAUCAUGAUGCGCAGUAGACGCAUCCUGUGUCGGCAGCACCCCAAACUCGGGAGGCUGGCCGGGGUGCAGCUAACAUACCUGGGAUGUGUGCACUGACUGCAUGCCACCUGAGGCACCCUCGGAGCAUCUGAGAACCAAAGAAUCACUCCUCAGCUUCCCAACCAGGGGACAAGUUUGGGCUCUGGCAUGGGACAGCUCUUGUCUGCACUCCGAAUCUCUGACCUUUCUCAAUGCAGUGCUGGGGUUGACUUGGCAGAUGAGGCUGCUGGGACUCAAAUCACCUCACUGGCUUGAAGUCGUAUUUAAUCUGCUCCCAAGAAGGUGGAGCCAAGGACUAGCUGGUCCCAGCCAUGAAUUCUCUGAAAAUUAGAAGAAUAACAAAGCAUAUCAAAUAGGAUUAACACAAACACUUUUCAACACAGUGCCUGUGAGGCAACAGAAACAUGAGCACAGGAUGCCCAUCAGUGGGGGGCCACCAGGGCCCAAUGUCUCCAAAAGCAACUUGCUGGAUGUAUCAAGAGCUUAAAUUUAAAAAGCACUUAAUCCCUGAUGCAGUUAUCACACACAUAAGAUAUUAUCUUAAGGAGCUGUUUAUAAAUGCAAACCAAGAUUAUGUAGUAAUAUGAUCAUUGCCACAUAAACUGCAACAGCAAAAGUUGGAAGCAGUACAAAUGUCCAGCAACAUAGGAAUGGAGAAGAGUGCACGGGUUUUCCAGACAGGGAAAUAUUGAAGGAUGAUUUGAUCAUAUGCUUGCCUGAAAUUUUCAAUAGUGUGGAAAGUGCUCGUGAUUUCAUGUGAAGUGAAAAAAAUGGAUACAAAAACGUGGAUUUUACACUUUUAUCACACACACACCCAUAUUCAGAGGAAAUAGUUAAAUAAGAGACAGAGCAAGGUACCAACAGUAGUAACAUGUCAGUGGUAACAUUAUAGAUGGUUUUCAUUUUCUUUUUCAUAGUUGUUGGUAUGUUUCAAAAAUGAUCAGGUCUUUGAAAAUCAGAAGGAAAAUCAGAAGCAAGAGCACCAAUUGCUACCAGGUGAAAACCACAAUAUUCUCUAGCAAUUUCUGCAAACUAUAGGAUCCUUCAUAAAAUAUACAGGUCCUUUAAUAAUUGAUAUGUUCAAUUUUUCAAUAAAAAUUCUGAUGUAAAAUAAGGAAAGAAACAUUCAAAGUAUUCAUUUUGAUCUUGUACUCAUGUUUGAGAAAGAUACAGAGCAGUCAAAUUACUUUGGAAAGUGUAAAAAUUGGUGGUUUCAUUUUAAAUUGCUACCUCUAACACCUUCAUGUGACUUCAGUAACCUAUCUGCUCCCUGACAACCUUAAAGUGCUUAAUUACCACAAAUUUCUGAAAUAAAUCUAUCAUUUGAAUAACCUU
rnacentral:lncRNA from 10 species